rnacentral:rRNA from 1 species
UGAAUACGAGACGCUAAGGCGUCGAAGUAGUGUAUGUCAUACUUCCAAGAAAAGCUUGCACUGUCAUAGAUAAAAAACGCCUGUACCAUAACCGACACAGGUGGGUAGGUAGAGUAUACUAAGGGGCGCGAGAUAACUCUCUCUAAGGAACUCGGCAAAAUAACUCCGUAACUUCGGGAGAAGGAGUGCCUUAUUCGUAAGGUUGCAAUAACAAGAUCCAAGCAACUGUUUAUCAAAAACACAGGUCUCCGCUAAGUCGUAAGACGAUGUAUGGGGGCUGACGCCUGCCCAGUGCCAGAAGGUUAAAGAAGUUGGUUAGCAAUUGCGAAGCUGAUAACUGAAGCCCUGGUGAACGGCGGCCGUAACAAUAACGGUCCUAAGGUAGCGAAAUUCCUUGUCGGGUAAGUUCCGACCCGCACGAAAGGCGUAAUGAUUUGGAUACCGUCUCGGAGAGGGGCUCGGUGAAAUAGACUUGUCUGUGAAGAUGCGGACUACCUGCACCAGGACAGAAAGACCCUAUGAAGCUUUACUGUAACUUGAAAUUGAAAUUGGACUCUAUUCGCGCAGUAUAGGUGGGAGGCGUUGAUUAUAAUCUUGUGGGAUUAUUGGAGCCAUCAGUGAGAUACCACUCUUGUAGUGUUAGAUUUCUAACUUUGAAUCAUUAUCUGGUCAAAGAACAGUUUCAGGCGGGCAGUUUGACUGGGGCGGUCGCCUCCUAAACGGUAACGGAGGCGUACAAAGGUUUCCUCUGAACGGUUAGAAAUCGUAUCUAGAGUGUAAAGGCAUAAGGAAGCUUGACUGUGAGACCUACAAGUCGAGCAGGGACGAAAGUCGGUCUUAGUGAUCUGACGGUACUGAGUGGAAAGGCCGUCACUCAACGGAUAAAAGUUACUCUAAGGAUAACAGGCUGAUCUCCCCCAAGAGUUCACAUCGACGGGGAGGUUUGGCACCUCGAUGUCGGCUCAUCGCAUCCUGGGGCGGUAGUACGUCCAAAGGGUUGGGCUGUUCGCCCAUGAAAGCGGUACGCGAGCUGGGUUCAGAACGUCGUGAGACAGUUCGGUCCAUAUCCGGUGUAGGCGUUAGAAUAUUGAGAGGAGCCUUCUUUAGUACGAGAGGACCGAGAAGGACAUACCUCUGGUGUACCAGUUAUCGUGCCAACGGUAAACGCUGGGUAGCUAUGUAUGGAGUGGAUAACCGCUGAAAGCAUCUAAGUGGGAAGCCCACCUCAAGAUAAGUAUUCUCAUCACGUAAGUGAGUAAGGUCACGGUAAGACUAACCGUUUGAUAGGCAUUAAGUGUAAGUACAGUAAUGUAUGUGCUGAGAUGUCCUAAUAGACCGAGGACUU